UACCUUGUUACGACUUCGCGCCAAUCAUCGGCCCUACCUUAGACGGUUGCUUCCUUGCGGUUAGCGCGCCGGUUUCGGGUAAGACCAACUUUCGUCUCGUGACGGGCGGUGUGUGCAAGGCCCGGGAACGUAUUCAACGCCGUAUUGCUGACCGGCGUUUACUAGCGAUUCCGACUUCAUGGAGUCGAGUUGCAGACUCCAAUCCGAACUGAGACCGGCUUUCUGAGAUUAGCAUCGCCUCGCGGCAUAGCAACCCUUUGUACCGGCCAUUGUAGCAUGUGUGCAGCCCAGGGCGUAAGGGGCAUGAUGACUUGACGUCACCCCCACCUUCCUCCUCUUUACAGAGGCAGUUUGUUCCGAGUUCCCGACAUUACUCGCUGGCAACAGAACAUGAGGGUUGCGCUCGUUGCGGGACUUAACCCAACAUUUCACAACACGAGCUGACGACAGCCAUGCACCACCUGUGCAACACCUUCGAAAGCGAGUGGCUUUCACCACCUUGCAGUUGCAUGUCAAGCCCUGGUAAGGUUCUUCGCGUUGCAUCAAAUUAAGCCACAUGCUCCACCGCUUGUGCGGGCCCCCGCCAAUUCCUUUGAGUUUCAACCUUGCGGCCGUACUCCCCAGCCGGUUCACUUAAUGCGUUAGCUGCGGCACCUAGGCUUACCCCCCAACCCCUAGUGAACAUCGUUUAUGGGUAAGACACCAGGGCAUCUAAUCCCGUUGCUACCUUAACUUUCAUGCCUGACGUCAUAUUCGCCAAAAAGUGCUUUCCCCAUUGGGGUUCCGACACAUCUAACGCAUUCACCGUUGCCUGUGCUUUCC
rnacentral:rRNA from 1 species